rnacentral:tRNA from 1 species
GCCCUCGUAGCUCAAUUGGCAGAGCACCCGGCUCUUAACCGGUCGGCUGAAGGUUCGAAUCCUUCCGGGGGCA